GCCAAUCCCAUAAAUCUGUUCUCAGUUCGGAUCGCAGUCUGCAACUCGACUGCGUGAAGCUGGAAUCGCUAGUAAUCGCGGAUCAGCAUGCCGCGGUGAAUACGUUCCCGGGCCUUGUACACACCGCCCGUCACACCACGAGAGUUUGCAACACCCGAAGUCGGUGAGGUAACCUUUAUGGAGCCAGCCGCCGAAGGUG
rnacentral:rRNA from 1 species